rnacentral:sRNA from 1 species
UGCUGCUCAUAAACAAUAUGAUUAG